rnacentral:ncRNA from 2 species
AAGUGAAUAAAAAUACGCACUUAUAUAAUCUUUGUGAUAUGGACAAUAAGUUUCUACCCGGGCACCGUAAAUGACCGGACUAUGAGUGAUUUGCACUGAACU